CCCGGCAGACGGGACUGACGAGGUCACCAAGCCCAGGCCGAGACGGCGCGGGUGUCAGGGACUUGGGAAUCCCCCUCCCCCAGUCCCGAUCCCGCUUUCCUUUGGGGUUUCACCUCAGAGGACCCGACAGCACUCUUGCAGGUGGGAACCUACACAAUAGGAGUAAUGUGGCUCCACCUUCCUCUCGGGACUCGGGACCUGGGGGUGGAGACUUGGAAGUUGCAAAGCUCUCGGUGCCGGGAAUCGGGGCUACGGUUGAGUGGGAUCGGGCCAGGGCUGAGGUGGUCCCACCCGUGUAGGGGCGCGGAGAAACGCCUCGACUGCUUCACUGUACCACCACCCACCCGCCACGGGCCUGGAAGGAGCCGCUAAACAUUCCCGAGCCUCAGUUUCCUUAGCACAAACAGGCUGGUAGUUUCCUGGUGCUUGCCAGAUGCCUGAUGGAUGAGAAAGCCUCCUGCGGCCCCGAAAGGGAGUCCAGAGCAGAGGCGGGCCCGCGGUCCACUUUUACAGAACAGCCGUCUGCCUGUCUUCCUGGCUCGCUCCCUGCAGGAAUGGUCUGGGGCAACCCCAGCAACACGCCCACCUGUGGCCAGGAUGAAUAGGAAUCCAGUUCAGGCUUGGCUUCCAUGGCAAUCAAGGCCCACCAGGCCCCAGCAACCUUCCCUACCCCCCAUUCCUUUUUGCUGCCCCCCUCCACACCAGGCAUGUUCCCUGCCACACCAUGCUGUUCCCCUCACCUGGGCUGCCCUCCCAACUCCUCUCUGCCUCUGGAGAUGCUCUGCCAUUCAAGACUUGGCUCAGGCUCCAGGUCCUCCCUGGGCCUUCUAGAGCCCCUGGUUCUCACUCCUCUGAACACUUCCAGCCUGGCUAAUAGCCCACUGCAUCCUGGCCUGGGGUACAGGUGGCCAGCACAGGUGUGGGGGCCAGCUUCCAACACAAGCACGGGUAGGUCCCUCUGCAGACCAUGGGCUGCAAGAGGCCCGGCCUUGCCCACUGCAGGGGCCCUGCGCAGGGCUGGGCACGAAGCAGGUGGGUGUCCACCAAUCUAGUAUCCAAAACCCUGCUUGGUUCACCCCCACCUCUGUUGAAGGAAAGCAACACUGUGAUGGAGAGGAGCAGCUGUGGAUUCAAAUCCUGGCUUGGCCACUUUCUAGUUGUGUGACUUGGUGCAUCUGCCCUCAUCUCCUCAGAGACAAAAAUGGCAACACCUCCCUUCUUGGGUUACUAUGAGGAUUAAAUAACAAAACCUCCAAGAA
rnacentral:lncRNA from 1 species